GUCCCACUGAAAACAUUUACAGGGCAGAGUCGACUAUUAGGCCUGUAGUUUUAUGCAGAUCUUCAUAAACGGACACAUUCACACUAAUAUGAGUAUCAUAUCAGAGUAGGCUACAUGUGCUUCCCACUGCUUUCUAACUCAGCUUCUACCCUCCCCCUUAUCUCUCCACAGUCCCUUUUGGUGUUGGAUUUUUGUGGUCUGGGAUUGGAACGCUGGUUGGUACUGGAGCUCGCCCCUCAGCUAGCAUUGCAGACACACUUUCUGCCCUUUGAGUUCAGAGCACUGGAGGCCAUGCUGCAGCACAAGACUUAAGAGAGGAGGUGGAGGAGCAACCUAAGGAUAAGCUAGACAUCAGGAGCUCUCACACCAGGGUAUCCAACCGGUGCUGGGGAAUGGCUUUUUAUAGCACAGUCAGGAUGUUUCAUGUCCCCACGAGAAGGACGCGCCACAUGCAAGCGCUACAUCUAUGAAUGUCCUUGACUCACUGACACUCACUUGACAGCCAUGCAGCGAGGACAAUGGAACGAUCGCUGACGACCAUGUAGCCUUGGUAAUCACUGUGCCCACAGCGCUGGCUAUCUUCCAGGCUGUGUUUGUACUUGUCUGCACUGAGUCCAUCUUCAAGAAGCUUCUACGUAUUUCCCUCUGGUCAUCUGGGCCUGCUUGGUUGCCAUGGGUUUCCUUUUUAUGUUUCCUGGUGGGGUCAUCUGUCUGUGGGAUCUGGUGACAAUCAUCAAGCUUACUGACCAUGAAACAAAGGUGAAUGUGGACAUCAGCUUUAAUGUAGAAACUGCUGUGAAAGCAGCACAGUUCAUCAAAAGGUAACUUCAGUGCCCAGCGGCAGUUUGCUCCCCAGGGUCAUAACAAGGCACCGGGUUUCCGGAACCAGCAUCAGUACAACCGUAACACCUGGCGACACAGGAAGAGGGACAAUCUUCCAGCUCUCAACCAGAGUAGAUAAGUGCAAGAUUUGAUAUUACUUGUAUUAGUAGUAAAAGCCUCAUUCAGCCCAUCACGAGUCUUUGAGUUGAGAAGCCGUGAAUUAUUCAUUAUACCUUGUUUUUGUUCUCUCUCAAAAUGCAUCUACAUCGUGCUGGAAUUCGACUGAAUACUCUGGACUGAAGCGAAGCACUACUCUCCUACCUAUGCAGCGCAACACUGACUAGAUGUUUUUGGUGUGACGGCACAAAACGGACCUUGUCUAAAGUGCUUAAACUGUGAUGACUUGUUUGAAUGUACUAAGUGUUUCUUUUUUGUGUGUUGGUCAUUAUCUUUUGUUCUCUUGUUUUUGUCACUUAGAGAUUUGUUUGUUCACAUUGCCACUAUAUUUUUGUACUGUAAACAUUGCCACCUUAUUUUAAGUUUGUUGCAUUAUAUGCAAUAAUGACUUGCUUUUAUUUAAUUUAUUUCACAUUUUAGUUUAAUUUUAGGGGUUCUCCCCACUUAAGGUUUGCUUUUUUGAUUCUAGACUACAUUGAUCUGUGCAAUAGAUGGAUUUAAGGGCCUUGAAGGAAUGUGUUUGUGUGUGAACAGCUUUCCAGCACAAGGGGGAGCUAUGGUAUAAAAACAUGAGAAAUGUGCCAAAAAUCCAAAACAUUGUACCCAUGUUUAAUUUACCAUCAAAUUAUGUUCACUUGAACUUUUGCCAACUGCCUGUCCAAAUGUGUUUCCACCACUAGUUUUUAUUUCAAACAUAUCGCUCUUCACAAUGGUUUGACCUUUAUUUGGGUGGUUUUCCUCUUGAUAGAUCUUAGGCUAUACUGGGGGAAUGCACCUUGAGCAGUGUUUACUCGUGUCAUUUCAAAAAUUAGGUUUCAAUAACAGUUGGUGCUACUUAUUACCAGCAAAGUGCUUGUUUUCUGCCUUAUAUCUCCUUUGAUUCUGUUAAAGCAAUACCAUUACAGGAGUUUUGGUACAGCCAAUAACAAAACCAAACUCUGGUGAAGUGUGUGUUUCAUUAGUCUUAGAUUAUUGUAACAUCCUGGGUACCAAACUCAAGAGGUUGUUACAUCUAUUUUGCCAUAAAUAAAAUCCCCAGCUCAUAUCUGUGGAUGGGUUGUAACAUGUAAAUGACUGACAUAUAGAUGGUUGUUUUUUAUGCAAGUUUUUCUUCUUUUUUUUUUACAUUUUAAAACUCAUUUUCAUUUUAGUGUGUAAAUUUGAGUGUGUUUGUGAUGUGUUAUGUUUGCUUUUGUGCUGGUCAGCAUGGAUUAAUGAGAUUUAACUGCUGGAUAUUCUUUAAUCAGCUUUCUACAGCAUCUGUCUGUAUCUGUUUGUAUAGUGCUAGAUACGGUCUUUAGAUACAGAAUGUCAAUGCAAAGCACAAGUAAUCCUAUUGGUACACACUUUAUUUGGUUAUUGAUUAUAGGGUUUCCAGUCGGUUGUCUCUUACUGCUAUGCGCAGCAAUAAGUCCUGCAGCAGUAGCAUGUUGGCUAGCUGCUUUGUCGGAGCACCUCAUACAUACUGUCAUGUUCAACAUAUUCACAGACACUGUGGAGCACAGGCCAUUAUUCAUCUGUUGUGUUGUAAUUCCUCAUGGUUUCUGAUGGGGGCACUGGUGGAUCUUUGCUUGGCUUAACUGUAUCUAAUCCAUUACCUUUCAGAUUGUCUGCAGGGAGGCAGAACAUGACGGAGGAGAAGACUUGGAAGAAAAUCCCUCCUCUGAAGGUGCAAUCAUUGGAGAGUUAGUGGCUGGAACCGUUGUCAUUUUGUUCCAAUUAAAACCAAGACGAAAGUGUCAUCACUGAGA